UACGGAGGGUGCGAGCGUUGUCCGGAAUCACUGGGCGUAAAGGGCGCGUAGGCGGCCUGAUAAGUAGGGGGUGAAAUCCUGCGGCUUAACCGAGGAAGUGCAUCCGAAACUGGCGAGCUAGAGUACGAAAGAGGAUCGCGGAAUUCCCGGUGUAGAGGUGAAAUUCGUAGAUAUCGGGAGGAACACCGGUGGCGAAGGCGGCGAUCUGGGUCGAUACUGACGCUGAGGCGCGAAAGCGUGGGUAGCAAACAGG
rnacentral:rRNA from 1 species